AUUGAACGCUGGCGGCAGGCCUAACACAUGCAAGUCGAGCGAGCGGCGGACGUGUGAGUAAUGUAUUGGGCUCUGCCCGAUAGAGGGGGAUAACUACUGGAAACGGUGGCUAAUACCGCAUACUAUCGUAUGAACCCCUAUGGGAUUAGCUAGUAGGUGGGGUAAAGGCUCACCUAGGCGACUAUCCCUCGCGGGUCUGAGAGGAUGAUCAGGCACACUGGGACUGAGACACGGCCCAGACUCCUACGGGAGGCAGCAGUGGGGAAUAUUGCACAAGGGGCGCAAGCCUGAUGCAGCCAUGCCGCGUGUAGGAAGAAGGCCUUAGGGUUGUAAAGUACUUUCAGCGGGGAGGCGUUACCCGCAGAAGAAGCACCGGCUAACUCCGUGCCAGCAGCCGCGGUAAUAC
rnacentral:rRNA from 1 species